CAGGCAAUCGACUUCCCUUCGAAACCUCAGCUCUAAACGCCUCGCUUUAGAAGCUAGAGCUUUGGAGGUUCUGAGGACCGUCCCUGGGGGAGCAGGUGGCAGGCUGUGAGACUCCCGCGUCACCUCUUAUUCCUAAACAAUUGCGGAGGAAGAGCGUGCCAGAAAUGGCUUUGCUGCCGAAUGCAUUAUCUUGCCUUUUUCAUAGCCCGAUACCGCAAACGAUCGCCUGAUCGAUCGGAAAUAGGAGGAAAAGGUAGAGUGGAAAUUGAUUUCUUGCAGAGACUGAGGCGCCGAAUGAUAGAGGGAAUAAACAUUUCCCCCGGAUAAAAAUGUUCUUGUUUCAGAUAUGAGAACGUGUGUUUUUCACAUUUUUGGCCAGGAAAGUUCAAGUCAUAGAAACGUCUUACUAGUGUGUACACCCUCUGUCCAAUUCUUGCACCAGAAACAAAUUCAUGGCGACCGAAGUAGGUAUUUGCAUGUCGUGGUGAUACCUAUGAAUUCAUCACGCCCUCUGGCUUCCGUGAGUCUACAGCACCCCCAGGCUGCACACGCUCAUUCUGUGGAGAAUGGGUAGGUGUAGGAGUGGGAAGGAGCUAAAGGGCUCUUGAUUGUGCUGACGUCCUAUGUCACUAGGCGCACAGAAUAACAAAGAUUGCCAAUUGUGUAAACUUGGUUUUUCAAGUGUAAGCCGACCGUUUUGGA